GAUGAAGAACUUAGCGAAAUGCGAUAAUUAAUGUGAAUUGCAGAAUUCAGUGAAUCAUCGAAUCUUUGAACGCACAUUGCGCCCCUUGGUAUUCCGAGGGGCAUGCCUGUUCGAGCGUCAUUAUAACCCCUCAAGCUCAGCUUGGUGUUGGGGCCUGCUGCACUGGCAGCCCUUAAAAUCAGUGGCGGCGCCAUCUGGCUCUAAGCGUAGUAAUUCUUCUCGCUAUGGAGUCCUGGUGGAUGCUUGCCAUCAACCCCCAAUUUUUCUAUGGUUGACCUCGGAUCAGGUAGGGAUACCCGCUGAACUUAAGCAUAUCAAUAAGCGGAGGA
rnacentral:misc_RNA from 1 species